rnacentral:tRNA from 1 species
UGAGCGAGUGCGCCACGGCGGUGACGGCGUGGUACGCGGUGAGCCCGGCGUCGGUCAGCGGCGCCGCCCGGACCGCGUCCAGGUCGCCCACC